rnacentral:rRNA from 1 species
ACGGGAGGCAGCAGUGGGGAAUAUUGCACAAUGGGUGCAAGCCUGAUGCAGCAACGCCGCGUGAGUGAUGAAGGUCUUCGGAUCGUAAAACUCUGUCCUUAAGAACGAAACAAAUGACGGUACUUUUGGAGGAGGCCCCGGCUAACUACGUGCCAGCAGCCGCGGUAAUACGUAGGGGGCGAGCGUUAUCUGGAAUUAUUGGGCGUAAAGAGUACGUAGGUGGUUUGGUAAGCGUGAGGUGAAAGCCCGGGGCUCAACUCCGGUAAGCCUUUCGAACUGCCAGACUUGAGUGCAGGAGGGGAAAGUGGAACUCCUAGUGUAGCGGUGAAAUGCGUAGAUAUUAGGAGGAACACCAGUGGCGAAGGCGGCUUACUGGACGAUUACUGACGCUGAGGCUCGAAGGCGUGGGGAGCAAACAGGAUUAGAUACCCUGGUA